rnacentral:misc_RNA from 1 species
GAUGAAGAACGUAGUGAAAUGCGAUAAGUAAUGUGAAUUGCAGAAUUCAGUGAAUCAUCGAGUCUUUGAACGCACAUUGCGCCCCCUGGUAUUCCGGGGGGCAUGCCUGUCCGAGCGUCAUUGCUGCCCUCAAGCACGGCUUGUGUGUUGGGCCCCCGUCCCCGGUUUCCCCCGGGGACGGGCCCGAAAGGCAGCGGCGGCACCGCGUCCGGUCCUCGAGCGUAUGGGGCUUUGUCACCCGCUCUGUAGGCCCGGCCGGCGCCAGCCGACACCCAACUUUAUUUCUAAGGUUGACCUCGGAUCAGGUAGGGAUACCCGCUGAACUUAAGCAUAUCAUAAGCGGAGGA